rnacentral:rRNA from 1 species
GACGAACGCUGGCGGCGUGCUUAACACAUGCAAGUCGAACGAAAAGAGGGAAAGAGCUUGCUCUUUCCGGAAUUGAGUGGCAAACGGGUGAGUAACACGUAAACAACCUGCCUUCAGGAUGGGGACAACAGACGGAAACGACUGCUAAUACCGAAUAAGUUCCAAGAGCCGCAUGGCCCAUGGAAGAAAAGGUGGCCUCUACCUGUAAGCUAUCGCCUGAAGAGGGGUUUGCGUCUGAUUAGCUGGUUGGAGGGGUAACGGCCCACCAAGGCGACGAUCAGUAGCCGGUCUUAGAGGAUGAACGGCCACACUGGGACUGAGACACGGUCCAGACUCCUACGGGAGGCAGCAGUGGGGAAUCUUCCGCAAUGGGCGAAAGCCUGACGGAGCAACGCCGCGUGAGUGAUGACGGCCUUCGGGUUGUAAAACUCUGUGAUCCGGGACGAAAAGGCAGAGUGCGAAGAACAAACUGCAUUGACGGUACCGGAAAAGCAAGCCACGGCUAACUACGUG